UUCGGCCAUAGCACGUUGACACAUUGGUUCCCGUACGAUCAUCGAAAUUAAGCAACCUUGAACAUGGUCAGUACCUAGAUGGGUGACCGUUUGGUAAUACCCGGUGCUGUAAG